rnacentral:rRNA from 1 species
UACGGAGGGUGCAAGCGUUGCUCGGAAUUAUUGGGCGUAAAGGGUAGGUAGGUGGUCUCAUUUGUCUGGGGUGAAAGCCUUGAGCUUAACUCAAGAAGUGCCCCAGAAACGGUGAGACUAGAGUUCUGGAGAGGGUCGUGGAAUUCCCGGUGUAGCGGUGAAAUGCGUAGAGAUCGGGAGGAACACCAGAGGCGAAGGCGGCGACCUGGACAGAUACUGACGCUGAGGAGCGAAAGCCAGGGGAGCAAACGGG